GGGACCUCAUGAAGCGUUCGCAACUUUUAUAAAAAAGAGCAAGUUAGUCCAAAACAUUGCUGAAUUUGUUACAUAAUUCUUGAGCUGACUUCCAAAGUGUUUCUAUAAAAAUGACUAUCCAAUAGGCCAGUUGCGCUGGUCACAGAAUCGUGUUUUGAUGCUUGAUUCUAGUAGCUUAGCUAGAAAAAUAAGAUCUGUCCAAAUAGCAACUUUCUAAGUUCAAUAUGAACAGAGAUCUCGCAAUUAAAAAAAUUCGGUUUAUGACGUCAUCCACCAUGGUACUCACACCCUUGCGCCUUGGUUUCUUUCAUCAAUCAGGGAGGCACACAUUUCCUUUAAUUACUCAACAUGGAACUUGGAUGAAAGCAAGGUGGGAGAAACCAAGGAUGUCACUGCUGCAGUGGAUGACGUCACGAAACGAAUUUUUCAAAGCACAAUUCUUAGGUAAUUUGAGUUUAGAGAGAUGCUGUUUGGACAAAUCUUGUUAUUUUUAGCUGAUCUACAAGAAUCUAGCAUCAAAACACGAUUCUGUGACCAGCGCAACUAACCCACUGAGUGCCAGGAGUUUUGAUUGAAGUUAUUGAAUUUUAUUUACUUAAAUUAUGUAUUAAGUUUGAAAAUCAAGGAAUUUAAAAAUAAAGUUAAAUGAGUAAAAGAGCUAGUUCAAGUAAAGAAGGACUUUGCAUGGCACACUGAUAAUUUGCCGGUUGAAUAAAUUUCUCGCUGAGAGGUAUGACCUCUUGGGUCCUAAAAAAAAUGAUAUCAUCCAGUAUCUACGUAGAGAGAGAGAUCGUUCCAAAAUGAAAACUUAAAUUGAUUUUAAACCGUGAGCGAAAACUCCAAUCUAGUUGUAAAAAAUUGACAUUUACUCAGGGAACCUUGAAAAACAAAUAAUUAAUUGCAUAUGUUCAAGGAUUAAUCAGCAAUCAAAAAAAUGAUAAAAAUCAUGAAUGGAAUUCCUUUCUUUAAUGAAUGGCACAGCCCUCUAUUUAAUCAACUAUUAGCCUUACUCUUGAUCCGUUAUGAUUGCAUCAUCUCAGAAUUUUAUUUAUUGAUAAUAUUUGAUGAUGCUGCACUGACUUGCAAUCAAAACUAGUUACGUUUUAUUCCUAAGUAAGUCAGCACAAAUAAGUUAUCGAGUCAAAAAAGUGAAGAAAUUCAAAGAACUCAGUAUGUCUCUUAGGUACUACCUGAUGGCACUUCAAAAUCAAUUGUUACUGGGUUACACUGACUAAUAAAAAAUUGAAUGACUGUUGCACAGGAAAGGGUAGCAUAGCUCACAUGAUUUGCUAUCAGAUGCAUCAAGUGAUUAAAAACAUUGUAAGUCUAUCCUUUUCCCAGUCUUAGCAGCAGUCAUACAGUUCUGUAUUCAUUUUAAUGUCAUUUAUUCACUAUCAGAAAACAAAUUACCUAUGAGUAAAAAUAAUUUUAUGUUGAAGGGCGAAUUUUUUCUUUGAUAGUCUUAAAAAGUUCGCUUUAUUGAGAGAUUGGUUAAACUGAAGGCAUCAUAUUUCAUUUCUUCAAACUUUCCAAAAAGUGACUAAGCAAGAGGACAAAGAGCUGGGCUCAAAAAUUUAGGAUGAAAUGUAUUCUCAUGAUUAUAUUCAUAUGUUUGGGGACAUUCUUCACAAUGACAACUUUUAAGACAAGUAUACAAUUUUCAAUGGCAAACCUGCACAGUAUAUCACAAUUUUUGACUGGAGGACCGCGGAGCAUGAAAUGUGUUUACUGUUCCGGAACUGUUGAAUAUUGUGAACAGCAAAUCCAAGCCGGAACAGUGAGGACUGAGAUAUGCUUAGAGGGCGAGGUUUGCAUUUCAGCAUGUUUUGAACAAUACGGAAACUACUCUGAGAGAUUUUGUCACAAAAUAAAUUCCUGCGAAGAAAAUUUCCCUCAUCAUGAAAUUUGUAUUGAAUGCAAAACUGACUACUGUAAUAUCGAACCAAUACCAUACUGUUCCACCCAUCAGAAACUUUUGGAGUUAUGAAAUACAGAUUAAUGUAGGAUUUUAGAAGAA